rnacentral:rRNA from 1 species
UACGUAGGCAGCAAGCGUUGUUCGGAAUUACUGGGCGUAAAGCGCACGUAGGCGGCGAUUUAAGUCAGAGGUGAAAGCCCGGGGCUCAACCCCGGAACAGCCUUUGAGACUGGAUUGCUUGAACAUCGGAGAGGUGAGUGGAAUUCCGAGUGUAGAGGUGAAAUUCGUAGAUAUUCGGAAGAACACCAGUGGCGAAGGCGGCUCACUGGACGAUUGUUGACGCUGAGGUGCGAAAGCGUGGGGAGCAAACAGG